GACGUAGGGGGCCAGCGUUGUUCGGACUUACUGGGUGUAAAGGGUUCGUAGGCGGUGUGGCAAGUCGGGAGUGAAAUCUCUGGGCUCAACUCAGAGACUGCUUCCGAAACUGCUGUGCUGGAGUGUGGGAGAGGCGCGUGGAAUUGCAGGUGUAGCGGUGAAAUGCGUAGAUAUCUGCAGGAACACCCGUGGCGAAAGCGGCGCGCUGGACCACUACUGACGCUGAGGAACGAAAGCUGGGGGAGCAAACAGG
rnacentral:rRNA from 1 species